UAAGAAUAUUCCGCAAUGGACGAAAGUCUGACGGAGCGGCGCCGCGUGGAUGAAGAAGGCCGAAAGGUUGUAAAAUCCUUUUGUCGAUGAAGAAUAAGCAUGGGAGGGAAUGCCCGUGUGAUGACGUUAGUCGGCGAAUAAGCCCCGGCUAAUUACGUGCCAGCAGCCGCGGUAACACGUAAGGGGCGAGCGUUGUUCGGAAUUAUUGGGCGUAAAGGGCGCGUAGGCGGUCCUGUAAGCCCGGCGUGAAAACCUGGAGCUCAACUCCGGGCCUGCGCUGGGAACUGCGGGACUAGAGUCAUGGAAGGGAAGUUGGAAUUCCAGGUGUAGGGGUGAAAUCUGUAGAUAUCUGGAAGAACACCGGUGGCGAAGGCGGCUCUCUGGACCGAUACUGACGCUGAGACGCGAAAGCGUGGGUAGCAAAC
rnacentral:rRNA from 1 species